rnacentral:lncRNA from 1 species
GCUAUGAUCUAGUUAUCACCAUAACUAGCUCAUUUUAUGGACCUAAUAAUUUAGAAGAUUUGGUUAACACAAUUUAUCAAAAUUAAAUACAUAGACCAACUAACUCAAUCCUCCCACUGACUUCACCAAGUUAGAUCAGAGUGGACUAAAAAUAAGUCAGUCCAACUGACAAGUCAUCAAUCCUCCCACUUACUUCACCAAGUCAUGUCGAGGAUAAAGAUGAGUCAAACUAAAGGCACCUAAAUCAGUCGAACUGAUUUUCUAGUAAGCAUGGGUCAACCUAAUCAUUAAGCAAUUUGAUCAAAAUUUGGUUCACCAUGUUGGCCAGGUA